rnacentral:rRNA from 1 species
AACGAACGCUGGCGGCAGGCUUAACACAUGCAAGUCGAGCGCACCCUUCGGGGUGAGCGGCGGACGGGUGAGUAACGCGUGGGAACGUGCCCUCUUCUACGGAAUAGCCUCGGGAAACUGAGAGUAAUGCCGUAUACGCCCGCAAGGGGAAAGAUUUAUCGGAGGAGGAUCGGCCCGCGUUGGAUUAGGUAGUUGGUGGGGUAACGGCCUACCAAGCCGACGAUCCAUAGCUGGUUUGAGAGGAUGAUCAGCCACACUGGGACUGAGACACGGCCCAGACUCCUACGGGAGGCAGCAGUGGGGAAUCUUGGACAAUGGGGGCAACCCUGAUCAAGACAUGCCGCGUGAUCGAUGAAGGCCUUAGGGUUGUAAAGAUCUUUCAGCUGGGAAGAUAAUGACGGUACCAGCAGAAGAAGCCCCGGCUAACUCCGUG